rnacentral:rRNA from 1 species
GACGAACGCUGGCGGCGUGCUUAACACAUGCAAGUCGAACGGAAAGGCCCUGCUUUUGUGGGGUGCUCGAGUGGCGAACGGGUGAGUAACACGUGAGUAACCUGCCCUUGACUUUGGGAUAACUUCAGGAAACUGGGGCUAAUACCGGAUAGGAGCUCCUGCUGCAUGGUGGGGGUUGGAAAGUUUCGGCGGUUGGGGAUGGACUCGCGGCUUAUCAGCUUGUUGGUGGGGUAGUGGCUUACCAAGGCUUUGACGGGUAGCCGGCCUGAGAGGGUGACCGGCCAAAUUGGGACUGAGAUGCGGCCCGGACUCCUACGGGAGGCAGAAGUGGGGAAUAGUGCACAAUGGGCGGAAGCCUGAUGCAGCAACGCCGCGUGCGGGAUGACGGCCUUCGGGUUGUAAACCGCUUUCGCCUGUGACGAAGCGUUAGUGACGGUAAUGGGUAAAGAAGCACCGGCUAACUACGUG